UUGAUACCUUAUCACUAUGCAGAUCAUAACUUGGGCUAUAGGAGUUGGAUUGUCACGUUCUAAUAUGCGUUGGAAAUAUAAGAGAAAGAACUAUAAGUUUCAUGUUGAAGUCAAAAGAAGAUUCAGAAUGAAGAAGGUUCGAAUAAUUCGUUGAAGUUUUAGACUUAAUUAAAAUAGUUAGUUUGGGCCAGUUUUUGUAACUUUCGGGUCGGAUCCUAUAAG
rnacentral:lncRNA from 1 species